rnacentral:rRNA from 1 species
AUGCAAAAAUGUAGGGUACUUGCUGCAGCCAUUGAGACGCUAUCUUCCCUCUCUUCUCUUCGUGUAGAUGCUGGCGGGAGCUCUUUGAAGUGGCUACAUUCUGUUUCAUCUCCUCCCCACCUCUUGAGGACCCUUAAGUUGGUAGGAUGUCUUGGAGAAGAGAUUCCCUACUGGCUUGCAAGUCUAACGCAUUUAGUGAAGAUUCAGUUGGAGCAUAGCGGGCUAAAGGAUGGACGCAAAGUCAUGGAAUUACUAGGGGAACUGCCCAGGCUUAGGCUCCUUGGUCUUUCUGGGAUGUCUUAUGUUGGGGAGGAGCUAAUCUUCAGAGCACAAUUGUUCCAGAGUCUCACCAAACUAGAUAUUUCUGGCCUUGAGCAACUGAGGGGGGUGAGAUUCGAGGAGGGCACCUCACCCUGCAUACAAAGGAUAGAAAUUGGUCGUUGUUGUUUGCAAUCUGGGAUAAUUGGUAUCAAGCAUCUUCCAAUGCUCAGGAGUAUUUCACUUGGUCAAGGUUGUCAAGUGGCAAAGCUUGAUGAGCUGCAAGGGGAGGUGGAAGCACACCCCAACCAUCCUGUGCUGCAGCUGCUGUUUGACAGGAGGUACCACGACCUGGGUGAUGUUGCAGAAUGCUCGAAUGCUGUACAAGUGCAAGAAGCAACGGGGGAAUCAUCUCAUUUUCUCGAGCCUGCGGCAGUGGAAGAGAACUCCUCUCAGGGGAUCGACAGGUAUAUCAAGCAUCUUCCAAUGCUCAGGAGUAUUUCACUUGGUCAAGGUUGUCAAGUGGCAAAGCAUGGUGAGCUGCAAAGUGAAGUGGGUGCACAUACCAACAGUCCCGUGCUGCGACUGUCCGAGGAACGGAGCCGCCACGACCUGGGAGGCACCGUCGCCCAAGUGGGAGAAUCAACAGGGGAAUCCUCAUCUCUCCAUCCUGAGCCUGCAGCUUCAGGAGAGAGCUCACGGUCCCAAGCGGCGGGCAUGGCGAUGGCAAACAUCAGUAACAGCCAAGAUAAUGUGCUUUACACUUACAACUCGUGCUGA